GGGAAAGAGAGAGGGAAGGGGGAGAAGGGGAAAGGGGAGAGAAGGGAAAGAGGGAGGGGGAGGGAGAGAGACGGAUGGGGGGGGAGAGAGACAGAGAGAGAGAGAGAGAGAGAGAGAGAGAGGGGGGAGGAGGAGGGGGGAAGAGAGAGGGAGGGGGACGGGGGGAAGAGAGAGAGAGCGCUCGCCCCCCCCCCCCCCGCGCGGCCCCCCGGGGCGGUCAGGUGACGCGUGACGUCAGGCCGGGGGCGGGGCUCGGGCUCCACCUCCCUCCUCCCUCCGCCCCCCCCCUCCCCGCUGGGCGCGGGCCCGGGCGGGGCCGCGCUGACCGUGAGCGCGCUCCUCGGUUGCGCGCCGCCUGCCCUCCCUCCCUCCCUCCCUCCUUCCUUCCUUCCUUCCCUCCCUCCCUCCCGCCCCGCCUCCCCCGCCGCUCAGCGCCCCGCCCCGCCCCGCAGCGCGCAGCCCCGCACCGGCACCGCCGCCACCAGCAGCAGCCCCGCCAGCAGCAGCAGCAGCAGCAGGAGGAGGAGGAGGAGGAGGCUGCGGCCCCGUUUGGUCCGGGCAGGCCGCCUCUGACCUCUGACCCCGUGCGCACCCUCCCCCCCCCCGGCCGGCCUUUCCCUCCGCGCCCCCGGCCCCUCCUCCGGGAAGCCCGCCGGGACCCUCCCCCUCCUCCUCCCCCUCCUCCAGGCCGCCCUCGGGGCUCCCUCCCAUCCCCCUCCUCCUUCUCCUCCCGGACGCCCUCCGGGAUCCUCCUCCCUCCCCCUCCUCCUCCUCCAGGGCGCCCUCCACAAUCCUCCCCCUCCUCCUCCCUCUCCUCCAGGGCGCCCUCCGGGCUCCUCCCCCUCCCUCCUCCUCCAGGGCGCCCUCCACAAUCCUCCCCUUCCUCCUCCCCCUCCCCCUCGUCCAGGGCGCCCUCCGGAAUCCUCCCCCCUCCUCCAGGGCGCCCUCCGGGAUCCAGCUCCUGCUCCUCCUCCUCCUGGCGGCCCUCCUGGCUUGGGGCGCAGGCCUGGGCCCCGCCGGUUGAUGGAUUACCUGAGAAUGUCUGAGUGUAUCCAGAUCUCAUUUGCGGUUUGUAGAAUUGGCAUUUACACGGCCCUCACGGAAGACGGGAACGGCAGGAAGAAACCAUCUCGUUCACUCGGCGCCGACUUGCUGUCGUUACAGCUACGGGGAAGCCCCAGACGGGAGAAUUGGCCGUGCGACCUUGGGUAAGUCACUUCACUUCUCAGUUCCCUCACCUGUCAGAUGGGGAUGAAGACGGUGAGCCCCACGUGGGACAGGGAUUGUGUCCAACCUGAUGAACCCGUAUCCAGCCUGGCGCUUAGAACGGUGCUUGGCACGUAGCGGGUGCUUAAUAAAUGCCAGAAAAAAGCAGACUUGUUUUUAGAAUAUUUAGCUCCGAAUUCAUGGCCCUUCGCCCCUCCCAUUUCUCCAGUGAGAGCGCAGGAGCUGCAGAUGUGAAGAUUGAGG
rnacentral:lncRNA from 1 species